UACGUAGGGUGCGAGCGUUAAUCAGAAUUACUGGGCGUAAAGCGUGCGCAGGCGGUUCGUUAAGUUCGAUGUGAAAGCCCCGGGCUCAACCUGGGAACUGCAUUGGAAACUGGCGGGCUUGAGUGUGGCAGAGGGGGGUGGAAUUCCACGUGUAGCAGUGAAAUGCGUAGAUAUCGGGAGGAAUACCGAUGGCGAAGGCAGGUCUCUGGGCUGACACUGACGCUCAUGCACGAAAGCGUGGGGAGCAAACAGG
rnacentral:rRNA from 1 species